UGGGUAAAGUACACGUUACUGGUAC
rnacentral:miRNA from 1 species